rnacentral:rRNA from 1 species
UACGAGUGCCUCAAGCGUUAUCCGGAAUCAUUGGGCGUAAAGGAUGUGUAGGUGGUUGUGUUAGUCUUCUGUUAAAUUCUUCGGCUUAACCGGGGGCAUGCAGGGGAAACGGCACGACUAGAGGAUGCGAGGGGUCUGCGGAACUCAUAGUGUAGCGGUAAAAUGCGUUGAUAUUAUGGGGAACACCAAAAGCGAAGGCAGCAGACUGGAGCACUCCUGACACUGAAACAUGAAAGCGUGGGUCGCGAAUGGG